ensembl:lncRNA
CUUAACUAGAAAAUGAAAAGCAGUGAAAAAACAUGUUACCCUUCUGACAAAAUGUACUCUACAUAAGCAGUAUGGUUAAACACUAAUUUGGGGCUAAGAAAGGGAUGUGCUUUGUGUUUUUUUCUUCUUCUUCUUGAGUUUCAUAUCUGUGACCUGAGCCUAUUUGUGUUUGGAGGGAAAAAUGAUUUUCCUUAGAUUCUUCAGACUGGGGAGCGAGCAUACUGAACUGAGAAGUUAUCAUCCCUUCCAAUAGCUCAUUAAUUAUAGUAAUGUUAGAGCAGGGGAGACAACAUUUCAUCUCCUUUCCUAAGUCCAUGGGAACUUUGCAGUCAUUUUGGGGAGCCAUUGUUUAAAAACAAAUUGAGAUCAGCUAUAGCCCAAUACAAAAUGUUUCUGGUGAUUAAAAAAAAGAAACCAAAUUGAGGCAAAGCAAAGAUGGUGAAGGAGUUUUAGAUUUAAAACGUUUGAACAAUAUUUGUAGGGUUUGGGGACGUUUAGCUUGGGAAAGAGAGGAAUACAGUGGGUAUAUUAGAAUAAGACUCUGGUUUGAAGGGAUGGAAUAAGACCCACUGAAUAGAAGUCACAGGGCCAUGGACUUGAACUUCACAUUAGAAAGAACUUUCUCAACAAGUUGGUUCCCCAUGGAAGGGGCUGCCUCUGUCAAGCAAAGGCUCAAUGAGAACUUGGCAAAGAUGGUGUGGAGAGGAUUCCAGCACUUCUUGGGGUGGACGAGAUGACCUAUUAAAAUUCUAUUUCUAGCACUUUGCUCCUCAUAACAUGUUCAAUUAAAUAUCUGUUGACCCACAGCUAAUAAUUUUUUUAAGGUUUUGCUCUUCUGCCCAAAGUGCAUGUCCCUCUCCAGGAAGGAGGUUGCUUACAUGUCAUUAGGUCAAGACUGGCCGUUAUACCCUUAGGCUGGAAUUGCCUUUUUUGAUCCAUUCAUUGAUGUCCUGUUGAAUCACAAAUUGGAUCUUGAGUUAAAGAUUAAAAAUGUAUUGUUUUAGUAGAAGUUGCAUGAACUGUUCCCUUCUCUAGGGGAUUUUCCCAACCCAGGGAUCGAAUUCAGAUCUCCUGAAAUGCAGAUGGACUCUUUACCGUCUGAACCAAUAGGGAAGCCCCAAUGAAAUCAUGGAAAUUAUGUAUCUGUCACUUGCCAAGCAUAGGCCAUGCUCAGUCUUAGUGAAUAGUUGCUAUCUCCUCAGGGCUUCAGGAUAAACCUUUUUAGCAGAGCAGAAUCUUCAGUGAAAGAUCCCAUAAAUAUACAAACGUGAAGUUGUACAGCUCCCAUCACAGAUGGGCUGGUGGUCGCUGGCAUAAAGCAGUCCCCGAGGUCGAUCUUGGAAAAAUCUCAAAUGACGUUUGGUUAGUUUGUUUGAUUCUUUUGAAAACACAUGAUGCGAAAAUGGUUUUAAAAGAAUGGAGACCAAGUUGCUUCAUGUAGAAAGUAACGACAUAUAGAUCUUUGAUUUGAAAAUCAGAGAUAAUUAUAAGCAAUAUUUACUAAUAAAGCCCAUGACUCUAAUGAUUCUACCUGCAAAAUAACUUGCAUCCUUGCAAGGCUGGUAGAUGGCUCUUUAUUGGUCUUCUUAAACAAAAGUCAUUGGUCUUGCAUCACUAUGGUGAGAAACACUUGAGUUUGGGUGAGACUUUGUUUGAUUCCUUUGGAUGAGAAAUCAGCACAAAAGCUAGCCUCCUCUUUAACUGACUGCAUGAUGUGCAUGAGUCAAAUUUUUACUUUUCCACUGAGUUAAAGCAAAAUUUUUAGAGGUGUGAUGUCGGGAGGUGAUUAGAAGAUGGAACACUAGGCCAGGGGUGAGGAGUCCUAGAAUCCCCUUGAAUUAGCUGUAACAUUAUGCAAAGCACAAUCUCUUGGGCAUCCGUUUCCUCAUCUACCAGAUAGACUAAUAAUAAUAUACCUGUCAGGAUUAUUGUGAAGAUUAGAUAAAUUGAAAGUACUGAACUUGGUAAACAGUAAGCACCCAAAUAUUUGUUCUUUUCUCCUUGAUGAAGAGCAGACUUUGGAUGGUUUGAUACAAGUAUAGAUCAUUUGAGCAAAACAAGGAGCCCUCCUGACUUCAGAAAAACAAAAACGAAAACUCCGCUUCUGAAAGAGCCUUAAAAGAAAGUCAUGUAUUUAAUCCGUUUUUCUGCCUUAGUGCAUAACUGUUACCCAAGAGACUCCACUUCUUUACCUACUUCAAGAAAGGUAUUCUCUCUCUUCCAAUGGGCAGUUCCAGGGUUGUAAACUCAUCAUCAGGAAACUUAACCUUAUUACUGAAAUACCUCACAGUGCGAUCUGAACCUCUUUCUUCUUGAUCCCAUCCUCCAUGAGAAGAAAAAUUGGCUGAUCCUGUCUUCUUUUUAAAGGGCCAUGUUUGCCAUUUAGUAUUACCCUUUUGCCUCAUUAAAAAAAAAAAAAAAAAACUGACAGAAAAAGCUCAUUAAGGUGAUAAUUAUUAUCCCCUUGGAGAAUGUCAGGAUUCUUAUCGAUGGCGAUCAGAUUUAGAUCACAAACACUGUUGUAACUCUUCAGUCAGUAUUUUCUUCUUUAGUUAACGUAUUAUUGAUAACCAAGUGUGCUUCUGAAAACUUAUUCUGGUGGUGUGGCUCUCAUUUUCUCCUCUUGGUAAAAGUGGAGUCACGAAUCCCAGCUUCUGUCAACUACUUUUAGAAUGUAAUUUCAUAUAUGACAUAAUUUGAUGGACAUAAUUGCCAACACCUAAUAUUAGCAGGGUUUCUUGCCUUUUUUUACAUUCUGAAUUAAAAAUCAGAAUACCAAAUGCCUAAUAAAACAAAAAUUCUUGCACAGAAUAGCAAAAGGUAAGAAUCUGGUCUGCUAGAAUAAUUUGUCACUAGUUGGUUAAAUGGUGCAGAGCUUUUGUUUAAAGUUACACAGUUAUGCCUGGAUUAAAUAACAAUAGCAAAACUUGAGAAGCCCUCUGAAAAACAGCUGCUAAACAUACUGCUUUCUGGAAAGUAAUCAUUAAGAAUAAAUAUUCUCUUGUUCUAUACAAUUGCCGAAUGUUAGUGGAAAUUUCUUGUAGGCUACUUGAAUGUCAAUUGAUUUAUUAAAAAAAAAUUUGUGUUUGAAUCCUUUUAUUCCUUUAGGGCAUUUUGGGGCUUUCGUGUUCCUGUUGUAGAAAAUUUCAAAUGACUGGAAUGCUGGCUUCUAAUUUCUGCUCACUGAAGUGGCCUCUAGGCAUAUCAGAUGGUUGGGGCCUCUUUGAUGAUCUGAAGGGAGCUACUUAAAUACACUUACAUAAAGUGUGUGAAUAAAAUUGCUGUUUUCAGCAAACAAACAAACAAACAAAAACACUUUUGAUUAAAAUUUCAGAUAAUAAAGGGUUAAGAAGAGUUUUUUUCAUAAUCUAAAGGGAAACGUAUGCCCCAUAUAUAUUGUUGCCUACAUUUUAAUGCAUGACUUUUAGUAUAGGGAUGAAAUAAAAUACAAAAUAUAUAAUUCUGGAGGUCUUCUCAGCAGCUAGUUAAAAUAUUUAGAUAAGCUGUUUUAUGAAGACUUAGAAAACCCCUAGUUUCCCUUUCUAUAUCUCCAUUGAAAUGGAUCUUUAACAUAAACAUAGUUGUAACCAACAAACAUAAACAAACUUGUUCAUCAUGGAAUCUUAUGAACUCAGCUCUUUAUUGGUUAUUGGUUUUAAGCAUAGGCUCUCAAUAAUAUCUAAAUACAUCAAUAUAUAAAAUCUAACUAUUAGCUUCAACACAAGCAAAAUACUUGAUUUUAAAUGUUAAUAUGCAGAUAUUAACGGUAUGCUGUAUCAUGUCUUCUGUGUUCAUGUAUUCCUUUUUAAUAAAAUGCCUGUUAGAAGUAUAAGCCGAUGAUGAUGUGAGUGCAAUUAUCUGAAAACAUUUUGUAGAAAGGUGCUUGUCUGAACACUUUAAUCCAUAUUAAAAAGUGGUAGAGGGAGCAGGAAUCUGACAAGAUAUUUUAAAAUGAAGUUGCAUUUCUCUUUUCAAAAUGCAGACAUAAUUCGUACAUCAUGUAAUUUACCCCUGUAAAGUGUACAAUUUAAUGUUUUUUGGUAUUUUCACAAAGUUGUGCAACCAUCACCAUUCUUUGACUCCAGAACAUUUUCAUCAUCUCCCAAAGAAAUUCUGUACCCAUUAGCAAUCACUCUUCUUGAUUCCCCAUCAAUCUCUCACAACCACUAAUCUAUUUUGUUGCUACACAUUUGCCUAUCCUGGGCAUUCCAUAGAAGUAGAAUCAUACAAUAUGUAUUCUUUUGUGUCUGGCUUCUUUCACUUAGCAUAAUGUUUUUAAGUUUUAUGUUGUACCAAGUAUCAUGUUGUAGCAUGAAUUAAUACAUUUUUUAUGGUUAAAUAGUAUUCCAUUGUAUGUAUACACAUACCAUAUUUUACUUGUCCAGCAGUUGAUGGACAUUUGGGUUGUUUUCACUUUUUGGCUAUUAUAAAUAAUGCUGCUAUAUGUGUGUGUGUGUGUGUGUGUGUGUGUGUGUAUUUGUGUACAACUUUUCUGUCUGGGGAUAUGUUUUCAUGUCUCUUAAAAUUUAAGCAAUUAGUCUAGUAAAUCAAGUGACUUGUGUUCAUUUAAGCAGAGCUUCUUAAAAUCCUUAGAGAAUGCAACUUAUAAUCUUAGAUCAGUUGAUCAACUAGGAGACUCUUGAAUAAUGGCUGACACACUACUGUGUCUAUAAGAAUUUUUCUAUGAGGCCAUCAUUUACAUAUGAUAGUCAAUGUCAUGAAGACUGCUUCAGUCUUGUGCAAAUUGGGUUUUCAUCACAUGGAGAAUUUCGUGGGAAAGGACGGCUACAAAUCAUACCGGAGAGCAGCACUCAAUCUUCAAGGAUUCAGUGAAAGAGCACUUUUAAUAUACAAUUCCUUUAUGAAUAUGGACUGUGUUUCAAAGUGUGGAUUUUCCUUCUUGAAAAAACAUUGUCAAAUUGCCAAACCACUUGACUGUCCAUUGUAGCUUUGGUUUUUAUUAUAAGAAAUAAUUCAUACUGAGAGUAAAAAGAAUGUAUUUUGUGUGCAAAGGAUGAAUGUAUUAAUAACUUUUUAUUUGUAACAGAAUUUUUUUAAAAAGAUGAAUGGAAAUUGCUUUCCCAUGUACUUGUAAAUAAAUAAACAUUUCUUGUUGCCCACAUUUGGACGAUCAUAUGCCAUCAAACAAUGAAAAAG